GAUGAAGAACGCAGCGAAAUGCGAUACUUGGUGUGAAUUGCAGAAUCCCGUGAACCAUCGAGUCUUUGAACGCAAGUUGCGCCCGAAGCCAUUAGGCCGAGGGCACGCCUGCCUGGGCGUCACACGUCGUUGCCCCCCCAUCUACUCCUUCGGGAUUGCGGGGGGCGGAUGAUGGCCUCUCGUGCGCCUCGUCGCGCGGUUGGCCUAAAUGCCAAGUCCUCGGCGACGCACGCCACGACAAUCGGUGGUUGCGAAACCUCGGUUGCCUGUCGUGUGCGGUCGUCGCGCAUCGAGGGCUCGAAAAAAUUGCCGGGCUUCGGCUCGACUUUCAACGCGACCCCAGGCCAGGCGGGGUUACCCGCUGAAUUUAAGCAUAUCAAUAAGCGGAGGA
rnacentral:misc_RNA from 1 species